CAGUAGCCGCGGGAAUACGUAGGUGGCAAGCGUUGUCCGGAAUUAUUGGGCGUAAAGGGCUCGCAGGCGGUUUCUUAAGUCUGAUGUGAAAGCCCCCGGCUCAACCGGGGAGGGUCAUUGGAAACUGGGAAACUUGAGUGCAGAAGAGGAGAGUGGAAUUUCCGGUGGAGCGGUGAAAUGCGUAGAGAUGUGGAGGAACACCAGUGGCGAAGGCGACUCUCUGGACGGCAACUGACACUGAGGCUCGAAAGCCAGGGGAGCGAACGGGAUUAGAUACCCGAGUAGUCCCUGUCUCUUAUAC
rnacentral:rRNA from 1 species